rnacentral:tRNA from 1 species
GGCGGCAUAGCCAAGUGGUAAGGCAACGGAUUGCAAAUCCGUCAUCGUCGGUUCGACUCCGACUGCCGCCUCCA